rnacentral:rRNA from 1 species
GCUACGGGUGGCUGCAGUGGGGAAUAUUGGGCAAUGGGCGCAAGCCUGACCCAGCAACGCCGCGUGAAGGAAGAAGGCCCUCGGGUUGUAAACUUCUUUUAACAGGGACGAAGAAAGUGACGGUACCUGAAGAAAAAGCUCCGGCUAACUACGUGCCAGCAGCCGCGGUAAUACGUAGGGAGCGAGCGUUGUCCGGAAUUACUGGGUGUAAAGGGAGCGUAGGCGGGACGGCAAGUCAGAUGUGAAAACUGAGGGCUCAACUUUCAGACUGCAUUUGAAACUGCUGUUGUUGAGUGAAGUAGAGGGAAGCGGAAUGCCUAGUGUAGCGGUGAAAUGCGUAGAUAGUAGGAGGAACAUCGGUGGCGAAGGCGGCUUACUGGGCUUUUACUGACGCUGAGGCUCGAAAGCGUGGGGAGCAAACAGGAUUAGAUACCCCAGUAGUC